AGCUACUGGCCAUUAUAGUCAGAUAAACAAGAGAGUUAGUUAGAACAAGAAGUUGUUGUCACACACAUAAUUCUGCAUUGCGGUCUAUGAAAGUGCUCUGUCAUAUGGUCAGUAACGUGUGUGUGUGUGUGUUUAUAGCUCCUAACAGGGGGCAGGUCUCUAAUUAUCAUGGUUACAGAGGCAUGGCCAACAGAUUGCUGGACACACACUCCAACGGACAGCUACUGACCUGAAGAGUGUGACGUUGGGUCCGGGUGCACCGCCAAAGGAACCGGGGUUGCCUCAGCUGGCUUGGCUGGUUUCCACGCCUUAGCUGGCUCGAGAGGUUUCUUUGCCUCGGUUGGCUCGGCAGGCUCCCAUGCUCGUCAGGCUCUCAUGCCUCAGCCAGCUCGUCAGGCUCCCAUGCCUCAGCCGGCUCAUCAGGCUCACAUCCCACGUAAUGCCUCAUCCGGCCUGUCAAACUCCCGUGCCUCAGCCAGCUUGUCAGGCUCCCAUGCCUCAGCUGGCUCGUCGGGCUCCCACGCCUAAGCCGGCUCGUCGAGCUUCCUUGCCUCAGCCGGAUCGUCCUACUCCUAUGUCUCUGCUCGUCCGUCAGGCUCACCCAGGUCCCUAGAGGGGGGGGGGGGUACUGUCACGCCUGCCCCCGCUCCCCUACCUGGCACUCGAGGGCGCCAGGCUGCCCAUCAUUACGCGCACCUGUCACCCUCGAUACGCGCACCAGCCACCUGGACUCCAUUACUUUGUUGAUUGCCGCUUCUAUAUCUGUCUGUUCCUCAGUUUGUUCCCCCUGUCAGGAUUAAUGUCAUUUUGUUUCCCCUGUCCAGACGCUGUCCCUGUCCUGUUUCAUGUCUGCUUAUUAAUUAAAUGUUCACUCCCUGUACUUGCUUCUCGUCUCUAAGAAUCUGUCCUUACAUUAUGCCUUGUAUGUGAAUCCAUUCAUUGUACAAUUUCAUUAUUUAUCUUCCUUUGAUGUAUAGCAUUCUCAGACCAAUUCUUGCCAGUCUAUGUCAACUCAUUGCCUAAUGCUUUCAUGUAUAUUUUAAAUGAUCUUUAUGGAGUCAGAUAAACAUUCUUAUUACGAGUCACGUGAGGUAUUUAAAAUAUCAUAUAUACUGUUUAUAAGCAUGUCAAAUAUUACUGCCCACCACACACAUACACACACUCACACAGAUAGAGAGAGAGAGAACAUAACAGACACACACACAGAACAGAACUGUAACAGUCUGUGCCUCUCCUCCUGUCAUGCCCUGAUCUGUUUCACCUGUCUUUGUGCUUGUCUCCACCCCCUCCAGGUGUCGACCAUCUUCCCCAUUAACACCUGUGUACUUAUACCUCUGUUUUCUGUUUGUCUGUUGCCAGUUCAUCUUGUUUGUCAAGCUUACCAGCAUUUGUCCUGUCAGCUCCUGUCUUUUCCCAGCCUCUCUUUUUCUCAACCUCCUGGUUUUUGACCCUUGCC
ensembl:lncRNA